AUGAUCUCAAGUCAGACAAGAGUACUCGGUGAAUUUAAGCAUAUUAAUCAACCGAA
rnacentral:rRNA from 1 species